UUUAAUGCUAUGCGACGCACCAUGACGAUUAGUUGGAAACCAGGCAAAGCGAUGGAAGUCAAGGAUCUCAAGGAGGAAGAUAUCUAUCCCGAUUCCAUCACAAGUUGGAUGUGCAACAUAUAUUAGCUGCAGCAUCGUGGCACUACAAUGGAAAUCUCAUGAUACUACAUGAACUACAAGCUGGUGAGAACCCCACAACAAUCAAGCUAAGGUACGUUCCAUAUUGGCUACGGAUCCAAGAUCUUCCAACCGGUUACUUCUCGAGGACGGUGGGAAAAUUCCUUGGUGACUUUGCAGGAAAAUUCAUGGACUGUAACGCGCAAAACAACAACAAGGCGAUGAUGAGAUCCUAUAAGAAGGGAGAAGAAAGUAGCAAUCCAUGGCUAAAUAAAUGCAACCGGCAAAUAUCGUUAUGAGCGACUACAAACGUUUUGUUAUAUCUCGAGGUUGGAGUUAGCUUGAAAUCACUAGAUAUGCGGUAUUGAAUAUUUCGAAAUUUAUGAAACGACUUAUCUUCCAUCAUUCGAUGAUCAUUGCCCACAAUACCAUCAAUGUUGUUAUAUUUGAGGUUGAAUGAUGGUGAUGCCACUUUUUGUCCUCCCGCUGGUGAGCAUACAUCCCUCCCACCCCUCUCCUGGAGUUUCAAAUUCCUCAUAUCCUAUCUCAUAUCUUCAUAGUUGAAUAUCUCAUAUCUCUUGAUACAUUAUGAAAGAGUCCCCAUAUUUGAUUAUAUGUAAAAUUUGGACGUUCUUAUAAUUUAGCUAGAUAAUAUUCAAAGUUUC
rnacentral:lncRNA from 1 species